UACGUAGGUGACAAGCGUUGUCCGGAUUUACUGGGCGUAAAGAGCGCGCAGGCGGGUCGUUCAAGUCGAGUGUGAAAAGCCCCCCGGCUCAACUGGGGGAGGGUCAUUCGAUACUGAUCGACUCGAAGGCAGGAGAGGGUAGUGGAAUUCCCGGUGUAGUGGUGAAAUGCGUAGAUAUCGGGAGGAACACCAGUGGCGAAGGCGACU
rnacentral:rRNA from 1 species